GCGGAAGUAGUGUAAAAGUAACACGACAGGUUUCCAAUCUGUAGUCAGAGGUGCGAACCCUCUCUUCCGCUCCA
rnacentral:tRNA from 1 species